CAGCAAGCCAGGAAGGAGGCUGGCAGAGUUCCCUGCAGCAGACCAGACCAUCCAGCACAGCUUUUGCAAGGUGAAUCCAGCAGUGAAGUUCAGUUCCAUCAGAUUUCAGAAUCACUAUACAAUGGAAAUCCAUUCAAGCUGUAACCUACAAACAAUUCUCAGGAGUGGAAGUGACAAGUGAGGGGAGAGAGAACUCGCUUCUGAGCGAGGAAAAUUCAGAACUGUACAAUGGUACACUCUGGUUCCGGGCUGCCGGCAAAGAAGAGGCAAAGACAGGGAGGAAGACAGAGAAAUGGCUACAGAAGACAGAAGAGAGCUCAGUGAGGAUGGCUACUUAUCUACAGGGAAAGCUCAGGCUGACUAUCCUGAACCCAGACAAUUACUUGGAAUGGAAAACUCGACUGAGGCUUGCAUUAUGAGCUGAAGGACUACAGAAGGUUACUGAGGAGACUGAACCACCAGAUGGAAGUUGAGCUGUGGAUAAAACUGCUAAAGAGGCAUGGCAACUCAAAGAUACAAAGGCUCAAGCUUUAAUCACUGCUUCUGGAGAAACACGCAGUUGGGUUUUUGAACUGAAAAUCAUCAUCAGUCUCUAUUCAGCAACAGCUAUGAAGAACAUGAAUCGGUACUAAAGAAUAGCUCUGAACAUAUGCAGAGUGCCUUUCCCUUUCACAUGAGAUCCAUAUUAUGUGUGGAAUUAAGAUGUGGAGGUUGGCAGAGAGGUUAAUGGUCCAAAGUUUCUUCAGUGGUGGUCUUAAAGAAACUGAAGAGAGAUACUUCAACCACCCCUCCUUAACCAUCACACCCAGCAUGUGGGCUGAUAUUGAAGUAUCUGGAGGGGCUAUGAAAGAUUGGUCUGUGCGGACACAUUCCAAGUAGCGUGGAAAAACAAAGGACCACAAGAAUUAUCAGUUAAUCUCAAUAAGUAUGUUGACAUACAUGGAAGUGAAUAUUGUGUAGCUGAGUUCUAAUUUUACAUUUAUAUCCCAAUUUUCCUCCAAGGAGCCCAGAGGAGUAUACAAGGUUAUGUUUAUCCUCACAACAAUCCUGUGUGGUACGUUAGGCUGAAAGAUAUGUGACUGGUCUAGAGUCACCCAGUGAAUUUCAUGGCUACAUGGGGAAUUGAACUCAAACCUCCCUGGUCCUAGAUAGGGGUGUGCACAAAACUGUCUUGCCCAGUUCAGUUUGAGUCUGAACAGGACCAGGCCAGUUCAGUUUUGGCCCCAUCAAAAAACCCUCUGGUCCAGUUUGAUUUGGGAGGGGGACUCAUUACUUUUUUAAAAAGUUUAGUACUUACCCCCUCUUGGGGGCUUCUCUUAAGCUACAUGGGGGGCGUGUCUAUGGAGGUUCCCUUCCCCCUCCCGGACUUCCUUGUUCCAAAAAGAGCCCAGUUCAGGCAUUCUUUGGCUGUUUCUUGGCAUUUCCCCCUCAUGGUGGCCAUUUUGGAGGCCACCAUGCAUGCAAAAUGGGCCUCUGCAUGGCC